AAUUCAGUCCAUAGGAUUCUACCUUCAGUCCCUCCCUCUCAUGUCUCUAUCACAGGCAUUUGGUGUAUGUGCUUGGCUGAGGAGCCAAUGGGGCGAAGCUACCAUCUGUGGGAUUAUGACUGAACGCCUCUAAGUCAGAAUCCCGCCCAGGCGGAACGAUACGGCAGCGCCGAAGGAGCCUCGGUUGGCCCCGGAUAGCCGGGUCCCCGUCCGUCCCCGCUCGGCGGGGUCCCCGCGUCGUCCCCGUCGGGACCGGGGUCCGGUGCGGAGAGCCGUUCGUCUUGGGAAACGGGGUGCGGCCGGAAAGGGGGCCGCCCUCUCGCCCGUCACGUUGAACGCACGUUCGUGUGGAACCUGGCGCUAAACCAUUCGUAGACGACCUGCUUCUGGGUCGGGGUUUCGUACAUAGCAGAGCAGCUCCCUCGCUGCGAUCUAUUGAAAGUCUGAUUAUUUCCUUUUCCCCAGUGUAC
rnacentral:ncRNA from 1 species